CCUACGGGGGGCAGCAGUGGGGGAUAUUGCACAAUGGGGGAAACCCUGAUGCAGCGACGCCGCGUGGGCGAAGAAGUAUUUCGGUAUGUAAAGCCCUAUCAGCAGGGAAGAAGAAAUGACGGUACCUGAGUAAGAAGCACCGGCUAAAUACGUGCCAGCAGCCGCGGUAAUACGUAUGGUGCAAGUGUUAUCCGGAUUUACUGGGUGGAAAGGGAGCGCAGGCGGCACGGCAAGCCUGAUGUGAAAGCCCGCGGCCCAACCGCGGGACUGCUUUGGGAACUACCGGGCUGGAGUACAGGAGAGGUAGGCGGAAUUCCUAGUGUAGCGGUGAAAUGCGUAGAUAUUAGGAGGAACACCAGUGGCGAAGGCGGCCUACUGGACGGUGACUGACGCUGAGGCUCGAAAGCGUGGGGAGCAAACAGGAUUAGAUACCCUAGUAGUC
rnacentral:rRNA from 1 species